rnacentral:piRNA from 1 species
GCGUGAGGACAAUAAGCAGAAGG